GACCGCGUAGCUCAGUAGGCAGAGCAUUGGGGUAGUAUUCCAAAGGUCGUAGGUUCGAUUCCCACCGUGGCCA
rnacentral:tRNA from 1 species